rnacentral:rRNA from 1 species
CCUACGUGGGGCAGCAGUGGGGAAUAUUGGUCAAUGGACGAGCGUCUGAAGCAGCCACGUAGCGUGAAGGAUGACUGCCCUCUGGGUUGUAAACUUCUUUUAUAUGGGAAUAAAAUGUUCCACGUGUGGGAUUUUGUAUGUACCAUAUGAUUCAGGAUCGCAUAAUUCCGUGCAAGCAGCCGCGGUAAUACGGAGGCUCCGAGCGUUCUCCGUGUUUAUUGGGUGUAAAGGGCGCGAAGGUGGAUCGUUAAGUCAUAUGUGAAAGUUUGAGGCUCAACCGGAAAAUUGCAGUUGAAACUGGGAUUCUAGAGUACAGUAGAGGUGGGUGGAAUUCGUGGUGUAGGGGUGAAAUGCGUAGAUAUCAAGAAGAA